UACGUAGGGUGCGAGCGUUGUCCGGAAUUAUUGGGCGUAAAGAGCUCGUAGGCGGCUUGUCACGUCGGUUGUGAAAGCCCGGGGCUUAACCCCGGGUCUGCAGUCGAUACGGGCUAGCUAGAGUGUGGUAGGGGAGAUCGGAAUUCCUGGUGUAGCGGUGAAAUGCGUAGAUAUUACAAGGAACACCAAUGGCGAAGGCAGCUUGCUGGGCCAUAUCUGACGCUGAGACACGAAAGCGUGGGGAGCGAACAGG
rnacentral:rRNA from 1 species